AAGAAAUUACCUUUCAAUUUGGAUUGAAAAAACAGAGAGUCGAAAAUAAAAAGGGUUUUUGUUUAAUCUUCUCUAAAUGAGAGAGGACGGGAGUGUCGGAGUGGUCGGCGCCGGUGGUGAAGAUGGAUGUCACGCGGCAGGAAAUGAAUGACAACAGACAAUCGCCGGAAUGAAGGUUAUGGGUUUGUAGGGUGUAGGUCGCGUAACAGAGGAAGGGGAAAGAAGUUUUGUAUACG
rnacentral:lncRNA from 1 species